rnacentral:rRNA from 1 species
GACGAACGCUGGCGGCGUGCUUAACACAUGCAAGUCGAACGGAAAGGCCCUGCUUUUGUGGGGUGCUCGAGUGGCGAACGGGUGAGUAACACGUGAGUAACCUGCCCUUGACUUUGGGAUAACUUCAGGAAACUGGGGCUAAUACCGGAUAGGAGCUCCUGCUGCAUGGUGGGGGUUGGAAAGUUUCGGCGGUUGGGGAUGGACUCGCGGCUUAUCAGCUUGUUGGUGGGGUAGUGGCUUACCAAGGCUUUGACGGGUAGCCGGCCUGAGAGGGUGACCGGCCACAUUGGGACUGAGAUACGGCCCAGACUCCUACGGGGGGCAGCAGUGGGGAAUAUUGCACAAUGGGCGGAAGCCUGAUGCAGCAACGCCGCGUGCGGGAUGACGGCCUUCGGGUUGUAAACCGCUUUCGCCUGUGACGAAGCGUGAGGGACGGUAAUGGGUAAAGAAGCACCGGCUAACUACGU